rnacentral:rRNA from 1 species
CCCCUAGAUGUUCUGGGCCGCACGCGCGCUACACUGAUCGGUGCAACAAGCAUCCGUCCUUGGCCGACAGGCCCGGGCAAUCUUUGAACGCCGGUCGUGAUGGGGAUAGACCUUUGCAAUUUUUGGUCUUCAACGAGGAAUUCCUAGUAAACGCAAGUCAUCAACUUGCAUUGAUUACGUCCCUGCCCUUUGUACACACCGCCCGUCGCACCUACCGAUUGAAUGGUCCGGUGAAACCUCCGGAUUGGCGCGUGCCCUCGGGCGCCGCCGAGAAGUUGGUUAAACCUUACCAUUUAGAGGAAGGUGAAGUCGUAACA